rnacentral:rRNA from 1 species
GACAGAGGAGGCGAGCGUUAUCCGGAGUCAUUGGGCGUAAAGGGUACGUAGGCGGCUAGUCAAGUCUGAGGUUAAAGACCACAGCUUAACUGUGGGAAGGCCUUGGAAACUGACUGGCUAGAGUGGGGCAGGGGUUGCGGGAAUUCCCGGUGUAGCGGUGAAAUGCGUAGAUAUCGGGAAGAACACCUGAGGCGAAAGCGCGCAACUGGGCCCUAACUGACGCUGAGGUACGAAAGCUAGGGGAGCGAAUGGGAUUAGAUACCCCAGUAGUCCUAGCCGUAAACGAUGGACACUAGACGUUGGCCGUACCAACCCGGUCAGUGUCGUAGCUAACGCGUUAAGUGUCCCGCCUGGGGAGUACGCACGCAAGUGUGAA